rnacentral:misc_RNA from 1 species
GAUGAAGAACGUAGCAAAAUGCGAUAAGUAAUGUGAAUUGCAGAAUUCAGUGAAUCAUCGAAUCUUUGAACGCUCAUUGCGCCCGCUGGUAUUCCGGCGGGCAUGCCUGUUCGAGCGUCAUUUCAACCCUCAAGCCCCCGGGUUUGGUGUUGGGGAUCGGCUCUGCCCUUCUGGGCGGUGCCGCCCCCGAAAUACAUUGGCGGUCUCGCUGCAGCCUCCAUUGCGUAGUAGCUAACACCUCGCAACUGGAACGCGGCGCGGCCAUGCCGUAAAACCCCAACUUCUGAAUGUUGACCUCGGAUCAGGUAGGAAUACCCGCUGAACUUAAGCAUAUCAAUAAGCGGAGGA